UGGUAUCAUAUCUUCUAUUAUGUCUCUUAUUUAACAUAAGAUUUAUUGAGCUGGAGUAACAAGUUUUUUCCUCGUUAAGAAUCAUUUUAACGUAGUUCUUAGAUACAUGAUAUACAUCUCUUAUAAUCUGAUUAUCAUGGCUACAUCAGAGUUAAAAAGAAACAAGAUUUCCUGUUAAGAAUAUCAUAAAUUCAUUCUGGUUUAGUUUAUUCAUAUUUAUCUUUCUUUGCAUAGGAGAAUUACGUUUUCGUGUCGGCAUCACGCGAUUUCAUUGCAUUAAAAUGGAAAAGGAUCAAACAAUAAGUGGAUGAAUAUGCCCCAUCUUCAAAAAUAUAAAGUUGUUGACCUAAUAACGUUUUCGAAACUGUUUGAAAAUCAUGAAUUUAAUGAUCGUCCUACUUUGUUUCCACUCACGAACGGAAAAAAAAAAAAAAAAAUAUUCACGAAUGAUCGAAAAGGAUGCGGAUACAGUUGUGAAAAUACUAGUUCUUAUCACGUUUGGCGGGGGUGCAGCUGUCUCUUAAAAAUAGUCUGUUCGUUAGUGGUAUCGUUAAUUAUAAAAAGGGACGAUUACCUUUCUCUCCGUUAGCUUCUGUCUGGACAGAAAUGUCUUAAUUAACGUAAGGACCUCUAGGUCUCCAUAAAUUUUCUCUACGAUACGGAGACCUAUGUGAGUGUUGCGUGUAGCUCACCUCCUUAUAACAUUUUAAGUGGUCACGGAGAAGUCUGUUUAAUGGCCGUUUCUAAAAGCCCAACCUCGGUCCUCCCGACUUCUAAUUAGAAGAAUGUAGACUUUCUAGAGAAUGCAGUUGGCCAACAGGUGUUAAAGGCCAUCUUGACGUGCAUCAAAGAAACAUUUUUUUUUUUUUUAAUUUUUUUCUCCUCUUUUGAAGUUUUGAGACGCGUCUAUGAGUAAAAUUCUAACGCCGAUUUCUUAAAAAAAAAACUCCAAAACGUUUUAAUCAAAAUAGCAUAAAGCAUUCCUAUCUGACACAAAUUACUAAUCUUUCGCUGAUUUGCGAUGUCUUAAAGACGAACUAAAAAACGUGAUGAAAUUAUCAAUUCUGUUAGUGAACUCUAGUUAAAGAUUUUCAAGGGUAGAGAGAGACACAGAAACUCGUUAUUUUCUGCAGUUGCCAUUGGCAUUAAGCCAUAUUUAUAAUAAAGUUGUUCAAUUACCCAACACCUCUGCAUUUCUUAGGUCUUGUGCAGUGAAACAAACUGUUCAUAAACAAACAUUAGUAGUUACCUUUUGACAGGCAAUGUCAGUGACAUUGUCGGUUAUCGCUUCGAGACAGCCUCAGGAUAGGUAUAACUAUCUGAUCCUGUGCACGGAAGCUCGACACGGAUUGCAUGUUAACAGUGACAAAUCACAGAUAUAAGGCUGUUCUGAUUAGUGGUCCUGUUUUCUGCCAUUAGACUGACCGUCGGCUACUUUUGUCCUUUUCUACAGUACAAAUUCUAAUCAGAUAUCUUAAUGUUUUUCAAGCUAUUACCGGAGAAAAAGAGAAUUAAUAAAAGUUGAACCUCGUUAAGUUCCAGAUAAAAAGAAUAAAUUUAGUUUAAAGGAUCUUAUCGAUUUUUUUUUACAUAAAAAAAAAAAUUAUAAUUAGAAUCUGUCAUUAAUAUAUAACCAAUUUAAGAAUCCUU
rnacentral:lncRNA from 1 species